rnacentral:rRNA from 1 species
AAUGUGUGGCAUACGGCUCAGUAACACGUAGUCAACAUGCCCAGGGGACGUGGAUAACCUCGGGAAACUGAGGAUAAACCGCGAUAGGUCACUACUUCUGGAAUGGGUAAUGACCCAAACCUAUAUGGCCCCUGGAUUGGACUGCGGCCGAUCAGGCUGUUGGUGAGGUAAUGGCCCACCAAACCUGUAACCGGUACGGGCUCUGAGAGGAGGAGCCCGGAGAUGGGCACUGAGACAAGGGCCCAGGCCCUAUGGGGCGCAGCAGGCGCGAAACCUCUGCAAUAGGCGAAAGCUUGACAGGGUUACUCUGAGUGAUUUCCGUUAAGGAGAUCUUUUGGCACCUCUAAAAAUGGUGCAGAAUAAGGGGUGGGCAAGUCUGGUGUCAGCCGCCGCGGUAAUACCAGCACCCCGAGUGGUCGGGACGUUUAUUGGGCCUAAAGCAUCCGUAGCCGGUUCUACAAGUCUUCCGUUAAAUCCACCUGCUCAACAGAUGGGCUGCGGAAGAUACUAUGGGGCUAGGAGGCGGGAGAGGCAAGCGGUACUCGAUGGGUAGGGGUAAAAUCCGUUGAUCCAUUGAAGACCACCAGUGGCGAAGGCGGCUUGCCAGAACGCGCUCGACGGUGAGGGAUGAAAGCUGGGGGAGCAAACCGGAUUAGAUACCCGGGUAGUCCCAGCUGUAAACGAUGCAGACUCGGUGAUGAGUUGGCUUUAUGCCAACUCAGUGCCGCAGGGAAGCCGUUAAGUUUGCCGCCUGGGGAGUACGGUCGCAAGACUGAAACUUAAAGGAAUUGGCGGGGGAGCACCACAAGGGGUGAAGCCUGCGGUUCAAUUGGAUUCAACGCCGG